rnacentral:lncRNA from 1 species
AUGGAAAACAGAGUGGCCUUUGAUAGAUAUCUAAAACACCUCUGCAGUGGGGGAAGUCCAAAUGUGUUUCUGCCUCGAACCAAGUAUCAUGUUAAAGGACUAAGAAUUUACAGUAUUUCAUGGAUUCCUUUCCAAUAUAUUUGUCUUUUUCUACUCUCCAGAAUUUUCUUGAAGGAAGUCAAACAUCUCCUGUUAUUUUGGGCAUGGACAUGGUGAUGAACAAAUAUCAUGGACAAGGUGAUGAGCAAAAAAUCAAAUAGAAUGUUUCACAGGGUAAAAUUACAUAUCAGACUUGAUUUUUAAUCCUGUAAUGCAAGCUUUAACUUAGCAACCUGAUAUACAACCUCAUAUAUGUCAUUUUUUGUUAAUAUUGAUGGACUUGUUAUCAGACACUGGAUCUGGACAAAAUUCAUCAAAAUCACUAAUUUCCUGAAAGUGAAAUGGAUGUUUUUGGGACUGGGACUAUUUGUUUGCCAAAUCCAUGAGCUCUACUUUAGUUAUAUGAUGAAUAUCCCACAUAAUUAGCCACAGGCCUGUUUGGAAAGUUCAGUAUGUUUAAGAAAUUGAUUUAAUAUAUCUUCUAUGGCAUUUACAAAUGGUUAUUCACUUCAUACUUGACAUGACAUGCAUGUGCAUAUAAAAUAAAACAUGUCUGAAAGUCA